AGUCUAUUCAGAGGAACCUGCCCUAUAAUCGAUAGUCCACGAUCUUAUUUACUUAAUUUUAAAAAUUUGCAUAUCGUCGUAGUUUGAAUAUUUUUUAAGAAUUUUUAAAUAUUCAAGAUUUUUAAUAGAAGUAAUUCAGAUCAAGGUGUAGUUUAUAUUUAAGAAGAGGUGGGUUACAAUAAAUUUAUUUAAACGGUAAAAUUUUUUUAAAAAAUUUUUAAGGUGGAUUUGAAAGUAAUUACUUACAAAUAUAAGUAAUGAUUUUAGCUCUAAAAUAUGUACAUAUCGCCCGUCACUUUCAUUUUAAGAUGGAAUAAGUCGUAACAAAGUAGGGGUACCGGAAGGUGUCCCUGGAAGCU
rnacentral:rRNA from 1 species